rnacentral:lncRNA from 1 species
GAAGGAGACUGUCAGACUUUAAGACCAGGAAGCUGGAGAGGUUGAUUUACGGAGGAUGACGGUGGUGUGAAGAGGAUAUUGGAAGCUGUAGAAUCUGAAUCAGAAAAUGUCCGCAUGAGAUGCUCAGUGGGUGUUCUUAUUAAAUGGCCACACCCAGAUUCCUGUUACACAUCACUCAUCCUGGGCUUUCUCAGUUGCUUUUGGGUCGUGCAAGCCGAUCAUAGUUUCUUCAUGAGCCCGAGGCAGUGACAAUGUCAAUGUUCUUCUUAGCAACAGAUUCUCUGCUCUUUACCAUUAUGCGCCAAACCUCCUCAGCCGCGGCAGUUUCUAUGGCAUCAAUAUCAGCUGUGCAAACGACAGUCUCCGUACUGCCAUUUCCAGGAUUGAACAUGUUAAUGAACUGACGGGAUUUCUCUCAAAACUCGGAGCCCUGCGUGCUUGUGCUCUUGAUUCGGCAUUCGGGUCUAUUUAUAGACUUCA